GACGAACGCUGGCGGCGUGCUUAACACAUGCAAGUCGAACGGAAAGGCCCUGCUUUUGUGGGGUGCUCGAGUGGCGAACGGGUGAGUAACACGUGAGUAACCUGCCCUUGACUUUGGGAUAACUUCAGGAAACUGGGGCUAAUACCGGAUAGGAGCUCCUGCUGCAUGGUGGGGGUUGGAAAGUUUCGGCGGUUGGGGAUGGAUUCGCGGCUUAUCAGCUUGUUGGUGGGGUAGUGGCUUACCAAGGCUUUGACGGGUAGCCGGCCUGAGAGGGUGACCGGCCACAUUGGGACUGAGAUACGGCCCAGACUCCUACGGGAGGCAGCAGUGGGGAAUAUUGCACAAUGGGCGGAAGCCUGAUGCAGCAACGCCGCGUGCGGGAUGACGGCCUUCGGGUUGUAAACCGCUUUCGCCUGUGACGAAGCGUGAGUGACGGUAAUGGGUAAAGAAACACCGGCUAACUACGU
rnacentral:rRNA from 1 species